AAGCAAACGAUGGCAUCUGUUUUCUCGGUCGUAUAGAGCCACAACUCUUUACUCCCGCUGACCACCCCGAGUGCGGUGCAGCGUCAGAAAAGCAUGACACCUUCAAAACGUCACGCCAUGUGACGCGUUCACACUUUGAAGCUGCAGCUGUGCCGGAAGGCGGCAUGAAUACAAGAUUCACGACGACACGCGGAUGUCGCAGUUGGUCCCGAGCCGCGGAUAUAAGCUGGUGACGCCGGACGACGCGAGAACGUCGCGAUCCACAAUGAAGGCAGCCACCAGUAUCCUUCUCGGUCUCGUGGUUCUUGCAGCGCUGGCCUACUGCCACGCCGAAGAAAGGGCUGACCAUGAAGAGCACGGGUACCUGGCCAGGAAACGCGGAGACGAUGACGACCAAGACGCCAAGAGUCGUAAAAUUGCUGGUGAAAAAUCCGGCAGCAAGACGGGCGGGAAAGUUAGGGCGAAAGAUAAGCAAAAGUACAAGAAAGCAAACGAAGGCAGCGAAGAAGAAUAAAUGUAUCCGGCAGCUGGGCAACUGCAAUAUUAUGACCCUUUGGCAAAAUCUGUAGCCAGCAAAAAUUAAACAAAAACAGCAGCGCA